GCUGACAGACAACAGAAGGGACUUCCUGCCAGGGGAGGAGCUAUGAGCAGAAGGCAGUGAGAGCCCUCUCCUUCCUUGAAGACCAGGAAGAUGUGCAUCCCUCCAACCCUGCUGUGCCUGGGCUCCACCCGGUCUCCCUUUACUCAAUUUCCUCUCAGCCAUCUCUUUGCUGACUGCUCCCUAGUCCUGGUUCUUAACCCACAGAUAUUUAAAGUGGAAAUGAGAGAACUGAAGUUCUGGAAAGGUGAGAAUCAAGUCUACAGCCCAUUCGUUCAGCAACUUCCUGUUUCCACCCCGUGAAGUUCAGCAGCGCAGCAGCGCAGAGGGAAUUUGCACAGAUGGUUGUGGUGGCAUGGCCCCCGAUCUGUGAGGAAUUCUGGAGUUCUGGAGAAUAGAAGGGGAGCCAAAGACUGGAGGUGAAAAUAGGAGCUUCCAAUCUUUAGGGAAGGACUUCUUUGGUGGUCCAGUGGUUAAGACUCCGCGCUCCCACUGCAGGGGGCGCAGGUUCGAUCCCUGGUUGGGGAACUAAGACCCCACAUGCCUCACAGCCAAAAUAAAUAAAUAAUAAUAAUAAGGAGGAGGGAAAGAUAACCCCCACCACGAUUUUGGUAGGUGAGAGAGGAAAGCAAGGGUCAUCAGGAGCUAGCUGAGGUUUGCUAAUCCCUGACCACUCAAGUGGGCACGGGCAUCACCUGGGAGACGGUAAGAACUGCUGAGAAUCUCGACCCACUCCAGACCUACUCAUCACAACUUGCAUUUUUUUUUUUUACCUUUUUUUUUUUUUGGCCCCGCUGUGCGGCAUGCGGCGUCUUAGUUCUCCAACCGGGGAUCGAACCCAUGCCCCCUCCAUUGGGAGCGUGGGGUCUUAACCACCGGACCACCAGGGAAGUCCCACAACUUGCAUUUAACAAGAUUCAGAGGUGAUUCGAAUGUACAUUCAAGACUGAGACGCGCUUAUCACAAGAAAAAAAAAAUUGGAACUAUGUGUGGUGAUGGAUUGUGUUGGUCUUUUCACAAUAUAUACAAAUAUAGAAUCAUCAUUAUGUUGUACAGCUGAACCUAAUAUAAUGUUAUAUGCCAAUUAUACCUUAAAAAAAGAGAAAGAGAAUAAAAAACAGACAAGAAGCA